rnacentral:rRNA from 1 species
UGGCAGUCGAACGGAAAGGCCCUUCGGGGUGCUCGAGUGGCGAACGGGUGAGUAACACGUGGGUGAUCUGCCCUGCACUUUGGGAUAAGCCUGGGAAACUGGGUCUAAUACCGAAUACACCUUGCUGGUCGCAUGGCCUGGUGGGGGAAAGCUUUUGCGGUGUGGGAUGGGCCCGCGGCCUAUCAGCUUGUUGGUGGGGUGAUGGCCUACCAAGGCGACGACGGGUAGCCGGCCUGAGAGGGUGUCCGGCCACACUGGGACUGAGAUACGGCCCAGACUCCUACGGGAGGCAGCAGUGGGGAAUAUUGCACAAUGGGCGCAAGCCUGAUGCAGCGACGCCGCGUGAGGGAUGACGGCCUUCGGGUUGUAAACCUCUUUCAGUACCGACGAAGCGCAAGUGACGGUAGGUACAGAAGAAGCACCGGCCAACUACGUGCCAGCAGCCGCGGUAAUACGUAGGGUGCGAGCGUUGUCCGGAAUUACUGGGCGUAAAGAGCUCGUAGGUGGUUUGUCGCGUUGUCCGUGAAAACUCACAGCUUAACUGUGGGCGUGCGGGCGAUACGGGCAGACUGGAGUACUGCAGGGGAGACUGGAAUUCCUGGUGUAGCGGUGGAAUGCGCAGAUAUCAGGAGGAACACCGGUGGCGAAGGCGGGUCUCUGGGCAGUAACUGACGCUGAGGAGCGAAAGCGUGGGGAGCGAACAGGAUUAGAUACCCUGGUAGUCCACGCCGUAAACGGUGGGUACUAGGUGUGGGUUUCCUUCCUUGGGAUCCGUGCCGUAGCUAACGCAUUAAGUACCCCGCCUGGGGAGUACGGCCGCAAGGCUAAAACUCAAAGGAAUUGACGGGGGCCCGCACAAGCGGCGGAGCAUGUGGAUUAAUUCNAUGCAACGCGAAGAACCUUACCUGGGUUUGACAUGCACAGGACGCGUCUAGAGAUANGCGUUCCCUUGUGGCCUGUGUGCNGNNGGUGCAUGGCUGUCGUCAGCUCNUGUCGUGAGAUGUUGGGUUAAGUCCCGCNACGAGCGCAACCCNUGNCUCAUGUUGCCAGCNCGUNUGGNGGG